rnacentral:rRNA from 1 species
GCUCAAAUUUGAAAUCUGGCUUCGGCCCGAGUUGUAAUUUGUAGAGGAUGCUUUUGGUGAGGUGCCUUCUGAGUUCCCUGGAACGGGACGCCAGAGAGGGUGAGAGCCCCGUAUAGUUGGACACCGAGCCUCUGUAAAGCUCCUUCGACGAGUCGAGUAGUUUGGGAAUGCUGCUCAAAAUGGGAGGUAUAUCUCUUCUAAAGCUAAAUACUGGCCAGAGACCGAUAGCGCACAAGUAGAGUGAUCGAAAGAUGAAAAGCACUUUGAAAAGAGGGUUAAAUAGUACGUGAAAUUGUUGAAAGGGAAGCGCUUGUGACCAGACUUGUGCCGGGCUGAUCAUCCAGUGUUCUCACUGGUGCACUCUGCCCGGCUCAGGCCAGCGUCGGUUCUCGCGGGGGGAUAAAGGCGGCGGGAACGUGGCUCCUCCGGGAGUGUUAUAGCCCGCCGCUCAAUACC